rnacentral:misc_RNA from 1 species
GAUGAAGAACGCAGUGAAAUGCGAUACGUAGUGUGAAUUGCAGAAUUCAGUGAAUCAUCGAAUCUUUGAACGCACAUUGCACCUCUCGGUAUUCCGGGAGGUAUGCCUGUUCGAGCGUCAUUUGUACCCUCAAGCUCUGCUUGGUGUUGGGUGUUUGUUCCGCCUCUGUGUGUGAACUCGCCUCAAAACAAUUGGCAGCCGGCGUACUUGUUUCGGAGCGCAGCACAUUUUGCGAUCCAGAUCAACGUACAGCGGCAUCCAAGAAGCCUUAUUUAACGCUCUUGACCUCGGAUCAGGUAGGGAUACCCGCUGAACUUAAGCAUAUCAAAAGCGGAGGA